UGAACGCUGGCGGCGUGCCUAAUACAUGCAAGUCGAGCGAACAGAUGAGGAGCUUGCUCCUCUGACGUUAGCGGCGGACGGGUGAGUAACACGUGGAUAACCUACCUAUAAGACUGGGAUAACUUCGGGAAACCGGAGCUAAUACCGGAUAAUAUAUUGAACCGCAUGGUUCAAUAGUGGAAGACGGUUUUGCUGUCAAUUAUAGAUGGAUCCGCGCCGCAUUAGCUAGUUGGUAAGGUAACGGCUUACCAAGGCAACGAUGCGUAGCCGACCUGAGAGGGUGAUCGGCCACACUGGAACUGAGACACGGUCCAGACUCCUACGGGAGGCAGCAGUAGGGAAUCUUCCGCAAUGGGCGAAAGCCUGACGGAGCAACGCCGCGUGAGUGAUGAAGGUCUUCGGAUCGUAAAACUCUGUUAUUAGGGAAGAACAAAUGUGUAAGUAACUAUGCACGUCUUGACGGUACCUAAUCAGAAAGCCACGGCUAACUACGUG
rnacentral:rRNA from 1 species